rnacentral:rRNA from 1 species
CUAAGAGUUUGAUCGUGGCUCAGGGUGAACGCUGGCGACGUGCCUAAGACAUGCAAGUCGAACGAGAUUUGUAUUUCAUACAGAAAAGUAAUUGCUUUUUUGUAUGAAGUACAAUGGCAGUGGCGAACGGGUGAGUAAUAAGUACGAACGUACCCCUAAGUGGAAGAUAGCCUCGAGAAAUCGUGGGUAAUACUCCAUAGUAUCCUUUGGGAUUAAAGAUUUAUCGCUUGGGGAGCGGCGUACUCGCUACCAGCUUGUUGGUGAGGUAAUGGCUCACCAAGGCUAUGACGGCUACCGGCUCUUAGCGGAGGGUCCGGCACAAUGGGACUGAGAUACGGCCCAUACACCUACGGGUGGCAGCAGUUAGGAAUAUUGCGCAAUGGACGAAAGUCUGACGCAGCGACGUCGCGUGAAGGAUGAAGGCCUUCGGGUUGUAAACUUCUUUUAUUUUGCCGUCAAGGUAAGAUGAAUAAGCAACUACUAACUACGUGCCAGCAGUCGCGGUAAUACGUAGGUUGCAAGCGUUACUCGGUUUUAUUGGGCGUAAAGGGUCUGUAGGCGGUUUUUUAAGUCUUAUUUCAAAGCCCCCGACUUAAUCGGGGAGAGGGGUAGGAUACUGAAAGACUAGAGUUGUAUUGGGGUUACUGGAAUUUAUAGCGUAGGGGUAAAAUCCGUGGAUACUAUAAAGAACACCAAGGGCGAAGGCGGGUAACUAGGUAUAUACUGACGCUGAAAGACGAAAGCUAGGGGAGCAAAUCAGAUUAGAGACCUGAGUAGUCCUAGCUGUAAACGAUGUCUGUUAGUUCUGUGGACUUUAUGUUUGCGGGAUGUAAGCUAACGCGUUAAACAGACCGCCUGGGGAGUAUAGCCGCAAGGCUGAAACUCAAACGAAUUGGCGGGGAGGCGCACAACCAGUGGAGCAUGUGGUUUAAUUCGAUAUGAAGCGAUGAACCUUACCUGGGCUUGACAUCCUGUUUAUGUUUUUCCCGAAAAGGAAAAUCUUAGUGGCAGGACAGCUGUUGCAUGGCUGUCGUCAGCUCGUGACGUGAGUUGUUCUCUUAAGUGAGGUAACGAGCGCAACCCCUAUUCUGUGUUACUAUGUCACAGAAGACUGCUCAGCAUUAUCUUUGUUGGGAGGAAGGAAGGGACGACGUCAAGUCAGCAUGAUGCUUAUGUCCAGGGCAACACACAUCCUACAAUGGAAAGUACAAUGAGUUGCAAUACCGCGAGGUGGAGCUAAUCUAUAAAACUUUCCUCAGUUGGGAUUGCAGGCUGAAAUUCGCCUGCAUGAACUCGGAAUUGGUAGUAAUCGCAGAUCAGCAGACUGCGGUGAAUACGUUCUCGCCUCUUGCACACACUGCCCGUCAAAUCAGCAAAGUUGAGGGUGCCCGAAGGAUUCCGAAUACUCAGAGAACUAAGGCAAAUUCAGCGAUGAGGGUUAAGUCGUAACAAGGUACCCGUACUGGAAGGUGCGGGUGGAUCACCUCCUUU